GCUAAUACCGAAUAAGUUCCAAGAGCCGCAUGGCCCAUGGAAGAAAAGGUGGCCUCUACCUGUAAGCUAUCGCCUGAAGAGGGGUUUGCGUCUGAUUAGCUGGUUGGAGGGGUAACGGCCCACCAAGGCGACGAUCAGUAGCCGGUCUGAGAGGAUGAACGGCCACACUGGAACUGAGACACGGUCCAGACUCCUACGGGAGGCAGCAUG
rnacentral:rRNA from 1 species